rnacentral:tRNA from 1 species
CAUUCUUUAGGGGCCGUAGCUCAGCUGGGAGAGCACCUGCUUUGCAAGCAGGGGGUCGUCGGUUCGAUCCCGUCCGGCUCCACCA